UCUGGUUUGGGCAACAAGAGCGAAACUCUGUCUCAAAAAAAUAGAUUCACUCAUGCACACAUACACACACUAACACAAAUAACACCAGUCCUCUGUCAAAAUAGCUUAGGUGACUUUUCUUGAUGCAAAGUUCUGAUUCCCACAGGAAUAUAAAAACAAAGAAAGAAUAUAUCCCAUGAGAAAAAAAAAUAGUACUGCUUAGAAAAGAAUUCACAAACCAUUUUCUCAUUUGGAAAUCCAUACCAUGUGUGAAAAUCCUAUCCAAUGGACAGCAAACCCAAAUGUUGUUUACACAUAUGUUAGCAUUGAUGGAAUGGUUCAUUUUCUCCAUGUUUCAGGAUUUGUUUAAUAUUUUAAAUUUUCAGUUGUGAGCAUCGUUUUUGACAGAAAUCCUAUGCAGCCCACGUACGGCUUUGGACAAGACCAAGGAGCUCAAAAACUUCAUGAUGUAAAUUAAAUAGUAAUCAUGAUUCAGUAUUCAAUUGCAAAAAUGUAAUAGGUCUACAAAGAGGAAGUGGGGAAACGACUAAAUGAGAGUCUGAUUCCCAGGCACGUGCAGCUCCCACUGGGACAUCACAGUAGAGCAGCGCGAGCCAGAGGGAUGGGCUGGAACCAGAUGUGUUUCCAGACGCAGAAUGAGUGGCUCUGUGUGACCACGACUCUGGAGGACGCCAUGCCACUCCUUUCUAGUGCCAAACACCGUCCAACCACAGGACUGACGUGGAAGCCCCGAACAACUGAGGAUGAGUGGCGUGAGCCCCCUAAAAGCAGGCAAGAGAACGAACAAUCACAUUCUCCACUGUGUACAGACUUUCCCUCCCCUCAAUCCAAGGUCAAAGUGAUGUGUCUUUUAAAGGCUUUGGGACACAUUUUAGUAAGUAUGUGCAGACAAAUGCAAUGAAUAGGUUACGAAAAAACCCUUCUGAACUGAUAGAGGGCUUAUCACUAUAUCCAGCUAAGAUUUGUAUUUGACUCAUCUGUAAAGUCGCACUCUUACAACAAGCUUCUGGGUUUUAAAUACCUCCGUACAGCAAGUAAACGUCCCCUGCUUUCUGUUCUCAGCGUCCUCCGUCAUGGUGCUUUUCGUUGCAUUAAAAGUGCCGGUCAAACUUUGAUAGUAUUUUUUUAUAGUUGGUGCAGAGUGGAAUAACUCAUGGAUUAUUUCAAUAUUUUUGUAAUAAAAAAUAUAGGGUAUACACAUAGGCAUCAUCACUUUUUUUAUAGACCUGGAAUCGUUUAAAAUACUUUAAGCAUCAUAAUCACUUGGGAUGUCAGAAACUGGUCCACAAAUUCCAUCAGCCUGCCUCAGCAGAUUGAAAACAUUUGUCUCUUGCAAGAUCACCCUACUUUGCAAGUUGGUGCCCCCAGGAACCUGGCCAGGGGUGCUAUAAGAAUAUCAGGUGAAGAGAGAAUCAGCUUAAAUAGAAAGGGCUUGUCAAGACUGGCCAAUGUUUCCCAGGAAAUCAAAGAUGUCAAUGAUUACUUUCAUCCAUCCAUUAUAACAAACCUGACCACAGUGGAAGAUGUCUUAAACUUCCUUCCCUGGUUUUAUAUUAACCCAACUGAUAGAUUAAGUAUUAGUCAAACCACUAAAAAAGAAAAAGAAAGAGUUUAACUUAAUUAUUCAGUUAUUUGGACUAAUUCCCAUAAAGUAGUCCAGUUCUCUAGCUACCACCUGUAAUGGGUGUGUCAUCCAGAGACUGUGUCCCCACGAUGACAUCCACAGAAAGUAACAGAGGGCUCAAUCUGGGACUUCUUUUGGUGCAAAGCCCCAAAGCAAUUAAAAAAAAAAAAAAUAGACAAUUUUUAUAAGUAGACAUACUUCCUAAUACUCCAUGAUUUGAUCCUCCAAGCAAGAUUUUCACUAAAAAAUACUAAUCUUUUGUUGGGAUGUGGAAAGAUUACGUAGUCACCAGUAAAGGCCCAAGCAAAGGCUCUUCCUGUCAACACAUGGUGAAAACAUUCCGCCCCCAUUGUAGAAGGAAAAAAUGAUGAUUUUGGCAGACUCUUCACUUUUGUGCAGAACCUUGAGUUAUUAGCUUCAUUGUUUCCAAGACAACUUUUAACUGAUGAUCUUUGGAAAUUGAGUUUCUCAGUUGAACUAUAUACCUUUGAUUCUAUGAGUAAAUCACAGAUUACAAUCUGGUAGAGUCAAUCAAUCAACACAAACCCAACAGGCCCCAUCAUGCUUCAAUCAUAAACAUCUUGGAGCUUGUCAAGCUUUACUGGAGGUGAUUUGCAGUUAACUAAUUCAACAGACCUUUAAUCUUGCAAAUUCUUGACUUGUAAUAUUGUAACCAAGCUCCUGCAAGGGAACAUUAAUCAGUGAGUGGAAAAGGAGCACUUCCAUUCAGCCUCAGCCGUAGUUCCACCACGUGCCCAGGCCUGAAGAAAGACCUCUGUGAAGCGGAGCCUAGUGAAUUCCUGCUACCUGCUUCUCUUGCUAAUGCUAUGAAUAUUCAUCUGCUUCCUUUGUUUUUUCCAGUAAGCGCUGUUUUGAAAAAAAAAAGAAAAAAAAAUUCCUGGGGCUUGCAUAGCUCAGAGAAUGGGAUACUCCGCCUUGGAGACUUGCUUUAAAUGGAUUCAAACCCACAUGUUUGGAAAUGAAAAUAAUGUCACUGUUACCUGUGGAAUAACUGAUCUGAGUACAGUUGCUGCUUUUAUUUCAUUUCUUGAGACUACCAUUUUCAGCAUUGUAAUAACCAAUUUAUAAAAAUUGAGUUUUUAUUUAAUUUCAGGGGUAAAAUCUGCAUGGGUGUAGCUACUGAAUAAUUUGAUUCCUGCCUUCCUAGGUGGUGACAUCAGCAGUUCCAAACCGAGAUCCUUUUCUGUGUGGAAUCGGCUAUCCUGUUGCUUCUCAGCCCUGCAAAACCUUGGUUACGAGCUCAAAGAUCACAAAUCCGUUGUUCUUAAUGACUAAAUUUUCACUUAGAGGGAAACAGGUGGUCUCUUAAUUUAAGACAGGGUUCUUUCUCCCUUGUUUCUGGUUUUUUUUUUUUUCCUUCAAAGCACGAUUUGAGUUGCAAAUUAAGAAUGAAGCUAGCAGGUCAUAAUUUCAGAGUAUGUGAGAGAAUGAGGCCUCCAGAUGUUCUUGUAAAGUUUUCUGUCUAAUCUUUUGGUAUAACAAUUUCAGGAGUUAGCCCUAGAUGAAAGAGUAGAAGUCAUCAGAUUUUUCAACAAGCAGUCUAGAGGAAGAUUGAGAAGAGGCAAGGAUUUUCUUGGGUUUCGUAGAUGUUUCUCCUCCCUAGGCUCUCCCCUUGGCGGUCAUCACCACGAUGUCUAAUAGCAAGCACUACUGAAUGAUCUUCCCAGUUAUCCGCACUAGUAUCACAGCAAGUCUGUUUUUAGAACUAGUUCUUGGCACAAGCGCCGAAAUAAAAUUGGGGGGAAAAGCGGUCUACCACCAUGUGACUUAUUUUCAAUUUCCAGGCAGUGAAAAGUAACAAGUUAAAGAAAAUGUUCAUUUUCUGAACCCCAGAGUCCAGGUAGGUACAAAGAUACUGUAAUAUACAAUGAGGCGGCCAAUCGUGGGGAUGUAGGAGCUAUAGACAGCCCUCUUGAGCAAGGUUUAUGGGUAAGAGUUACUCUACCGUGAUUGGGUGUCGGGUCAGAGGGUUUCUGUUAAAGUAGAGGACCAAGUAUAGUGAUGAAGAGAAAACCUGCCAGUGGUUCAUCCAGAGUAUUUGCCUUUUCACAGAGCAGAGAAGUUCAAGAUUGUCACUGCCAGUCCAUGACUGUAACAACAGACAUAUCCCCUUUGGAAAGGCCAGGGCCUGACCCAAGUGGGAAGAUGGAGAUGUCGGUGGUGUCAUGUCUAAGACUGACGCUCUCAUUAAGGGAACUCAUUCCCUCCCGAUAGUUCUCCUUGACCAUUGGCCCCUCUGGGCUCUGCAGGAGAGCUUCUGAUGGGUUUUAAGAUAAGGUUUUUUAAGGUAUUGUUAAGUCACUCUUGUUUGUAGAGCAUGAACCAUUUAACCAUCCCUCCUUUUAAGAGCAACGAGAUUCAGGGUUACCAUGGCCUUACUCAUGUUCCCACUGUAAAUAUAUCAUGAUGUCACAAGAGCCUCUGUGUCCAAAUGUACUAAACUGGGUUUACAAGCAUUCAAAUCUUUCACUCAUAUUGUUAAUCUCAAUUGUGCCAGUCACCUAGUCUAUCUGUUCCCAAACUGGAAAAGAAUAAUUUUUAUGAAAAUAAUUUUCAGAAUAAUGGGAGUGGAAAGAAAUAGUUAAGCAAUUUUUCAACACAGACAAAACCACUGGACCAUUGAUACCCCUCAAGCUCUGAUUUUUCAUCCUAAGUUUCUUUUCUUUUGGGGGCUUUCAACACCUGAAUUUUCCAGAUGAUUGCUGAACCAUCUUCACUAAACCAAAGUAGACGAGUUGUUGAUUAAAAAAAACAAAGACUGUCUGCAUGACUGUAAAUAUUGUGAUGAAAAGUGGCGAAGUAGGUCACUCACGUGGUAAACUUGGUCUUCAUGAUAUCAAACAUAUGGAUAUUUGGAAAAGUCAAGAUGUUUGAAGCAUACAGUUUUCUCUCUGGGUGUCUGGUGUCAUUCUAGAUAGACAGACUGCUCAGGUGUUGUAAGUAAUGGAAUUGAACUUUCUCGCGCAGUAAGCAAUUGCUGGUCAUAUUCUGCUGCUAAAAGUCUCUUUGUUGUGCAAAGAGAAAUAAUGCAGAGCAAAUGUUAUUUAAUUUUUAUUUGCUUUCGGCAAACACAUAAAUGGAAGAGGUCAGGCGGGCUGUCCUGGGCGUUCUGGGCCUGGCUGAGGCGCGCCUCUUUCACUCUGCCCCUGCCAGGGAAGAAACUUUCUAUUCGGUCUUUGCCAUCUUUUAUAAAUUUUAUCAUUGCUCUUCUGCUGUUCCUACCAUCUUAGUUAUUCACAAAGUCUACUUGAUAAAAUGGCUCGAAGGAAAUAGAAGUUUGUUAAGUUUUUGUUCUUCAAAUAGAAGUUUUAAUUUUAAGCAUUCCUUAUGAUAUAUUUUAAGCCUAAAAACAGUUCAAAUUGCUUGACAAAAUUAUUUCAUGGUGAAUUUUAUGGUGUUAAUAGAAGUAAAAGCUAUUUUUCCUAAACAAAAUACCGUACAUAGUUUUUUGGGUUUUGUUUGUUGAUGUCAUGCCAAUUUUCAAGCACCAACUGGUUACCACAAAUAUGGGAAUAUUUAGUGAUUUCUUUGUAGUCAUCAUUAAAAUUCCUGGGGAAAAAGAAAAAAUUUACAUCAAAGGAAAAUUCACCUCCCAGAAGUUUGAAACGUUCAUCCUGACUCUUCCAUUCCCAAUUAUUUGUGGACAUUUCUUCAUUGUGACAGUAAGAAGUCGAUCUUGUUUCUCCUGAUUUGACACUGGGUUGGUGAGCAUUGUCUCAAAUUUUGUGCUAACCUCGUUUACGAUCCUGAAGCUUAGCGGAAAAACAGGUAAACUAUUCAGACCCAUUUUCUUUAAGAGCACUUUUGCUGCAGAACUUGAUACAAAUGACUGACCAUGCGUAGGCACACAGAGAAUGGAAAGGUAUUCAGCUAUGCAAAGAUAGUGAAGGGAUUUCCAGAGAAAGCCUAACGUUUUGAAGAUUUGUAGGUAGGGUUUUGAUUGUGUCAAUUCUACACUCAGUGCCAAGUUAGAAUGACUUUAUGGGGAAGGCAAUAAAAUUCCUCGUUGGGGCCUUUCUUCCCUCACAGGCAGAAUGUUUUCAUGAAAGCAAAUGGAUCCUCCACUAUGUGUAGCAAAAAAUUCAUCCCCCCCAUGCCCCACAGCAUCAUCACUGUCAGUCCCAUCGCAGAUGUGUGUACCAGCCCAAUUCAGUUCUGCUUUUCUUUUUACCUGAGAUCUUUACUUCACCAAAUCCCAUUUGAAAUCUUUUUACCUUCAUGUUACCCACAGGAUGCUUAGUUGAAUCAGCAACAAUGAGGUGACAAUCAACUGGCCUCCACAAAAGUAUGAGUCAUUUUAUUCCUGAUCUUUGGUAGUGUGAUAAUCAAUGGAAUUUACGGUGUCGUAGAAAACCAAAAAUCCCUGUGUUGAAUAUAGUGACUGUCUUAAAUAUACUUAAAUAUCUUAUUCUACAAAACGAUAUCCUUUUACACUAUGGGAUGGAUUCCUUUCUGGAUGCAGGGAUGGGAGGGCUCUGGGUCAGUGAUUGGAACAAAGGAACUGGGAAUCUCUGCAUGCCUGAUCUCCAAUCCCUGGUCCAUCUCUCCAGCCUUGAAAACUCACCCUCAGCCUCAUUUUUCCCGUAUGCAAAAGAGAGAUAUUUAUUUACCUACCUCAUAGGGGUGUUGUAGAGAUUAGCAAGUGCUUGUAGGUUAGAAAGCGCUGUCAUUCCUGAGAACUGGCAUUAACAGAGGAGAGCUGUGCACAGUGCGGGGUAACUGGAGUCUGAGGAACACAAUAGCAAUAACUCACCAAGCAGAGAAUACAAUGGUUCUUCACCACUAUGUAAAAGUAACGCUUUUCCUUCAAAGGUCUAUGUACUAGACCUUUAAUCAUUAAUCUUCAAUGAUUAACUUUUUAAUGAGACAACUCCCUUUUGUCCAGACAUUGAGAGGCUUCAUGUAAAUUGACCAUUUUCCUCUUAACCAAACUGAAUUUUACUAAAUGUUUAUUAAAAUGCAUCCAGAAAACUUGUCUCCUUCUGAUGCCUGGGGGAUUUGCAUGCCUGAUCCCAAGCUGUUUUUUUCAGAAUGCGUGCAUAAUGCCCCAGUUCUGUACUCAUGAUCACCAGGUGGCGUUCUGAUAUCCACUACCGGGGGAAGAUUUUUAACAGCUAUCAGUGAGAUUAGAGUUGGAGUCAUUUCCAUUGAGUUUCCUCUUCACCCCCAAGAUGACACAGCUUUACAACCCAAUAAAAGAACGUAAAGCCUUAUUUCCACCUGGAACUCCUGAAUUGAUUCAUUUUCAUGUUAUAACCACAUUUCAAAUAUUUUGGAGAAGCUUUUACACAGGGCCUCAGAUAUAUAUUGAUAUAAACGUGCUUACUUGUGCUUAGAUGGAAAUUCUACUGAAGCAUAAAGGAGACAGUGAAAAAACGUCAGAGAAUAUUCCUGCAUAACUUCCCCAAAAGUGACAAGUUUUCUUGUACUUAAAAGUUUAAUCCUGAUAAGAACUAAUGCUGAAUAACAUGAUUUUGGUUUAUAAAUAUUUGUAAUUUUUGAGACAUAGAGGCAAUAUUGCGAUAUAGGAAUACACCCAUAAAACUAGACUAGCAAAGCAGAUGUUUUAUGAUGUGGCUUAUGAGGCAAAGUUGUACAUCAAUAUUAUCAUUGUGCCCUUACUUAAUGAUUAGAGUCCAUUGUGGAAAAAAAUUGCAUAGUCUUAGAAAUGUAAAAUGGGUUUCGGAAAGUUUACCUUGAGAAGUAGAUUUGAAAUCAUCUUGUGCUUAUAGCUGAAGAUUCACACUCA